GAUGAACGCUGGCGGCGUGCCUAAUACAUGCAAGUCGAGCGAACAGAUAAGGAGCUUGCUCCUUUGAAAUUAGCGGCGGACGGGUGAGUAACACGUGGGUAACCUACCUAUAAGACUGGGAUAACUUCGGGAAACCGGAGCUAAUACCGGAUAACAUUUAGAACCGCAUGGUUCUAAAGUGAACGAUGGUUUUGCUAUCACUUAUAGAUGGACCCGCGCCGUAUUAGCUAGUUGGUAAGGUAACGGCUUACCAAGGCGACGAUACGUAGCCGACCUGAGAGGGUGAUCGGCCACACUGGAACUGAGACACGGUCCAGACUCCUACGGGAGGCAGCAGUAGGGAAUCUUCCGCAAUGGGCGAAAGCCUGACGGAGCAACGCCGCGUGAGUGAUGAAGGGUUUCGGCUCGUAAAACUCUGUUAUUAGGGAAGAACAAAUGUGUAAGUAACUGUGCACAUCUUGACGGUACCUAAUCAGAAAGCCACGGCUAACUACGUGCCAGCAGCCGCGGUAA
rnacentral:rRNA from 1 species